GUGGGAUGAUUUGGCAAUACAGGAAGAUCCUGGUCGAGUACAUAACUAAGCUUUUUAGAGCUCAAAAUAAUUUUUAAGUUUUUUAACCAGUCUUUAUAGUUAGUUCUGGUUAAAUGGUUAGUAUCAAAGAUUCAGACUAGAUGAUUGGAAGCAGACAUGGUGAACUGUAGAGAGUAGAGAUUCUAAUGAGAUAUUUGUAUUUGAUUUUAAAAUUUAUUUUAGAA
rnacentral:lncRNA from 1 species